rnacentral:rRNA from 1 species
UCAAACAGCCAUAUUCCCCUGAAUACACCCUAUCUUGUCCGAUCUCGGAAGCUAGGCAGGGUCGGGCCUGGUUAGUGCUUGGAGGGGAGACUGCAUGGGAAUACCAGGUGUUGUAAGCU